UUCACUAAACCGAUCAAAUUUUGAUUUGAAGGUGUUUCCGCGCUCGCUGCACCAAACGUUUUUCCAUUCCGAUCGAUGCUGUCAAACUCGCCUCGGAGGUACUGCUAGAGCGUUCCUAAGAGUGGUACUGUUAAGCUUUCCAGGUAAGGGGAGCUAAUUAUUUUUGUAUGAAUUUAUUUUAUAAAAAUAUAUGCAUAUGAAUGUUGAACUGAUGUGCUCUUGUAAAACUGUUUUAUGACUUUUAUUGUAUUGGGUGUUAUAACUGAAACUGUGAAAUUGUGCAUGUUGUGAUGUGAUGAAUUUAAUCUGUUUUGAAUGAGUUUGUUGGCUGAAAUUGAUGUUGUUGGAAGGUCUGGAGUAAGGGUUAUGUAAUAGCAUGUAUAUGGGUAUUAAAUAGAUGUACAGGUACUAUUUCAGGUUGCUGUGAGAGGAAGUGAAAAUAUUAAAAUUAGGCAUUUCAGAUUUAGAGCAUAAGAGAACAUGUAGAUAGUUUAAAUAAAUUAAUUGUUAAUUGUUGAGAGCCUUUUUCUUUGUUGGUAGGAUAGAGCAGCCUUGACCUGGUCCAGUCAGUUGUGACUAGUCAUAUGUGCUGGCGUCGAAGGUGAGUUUGAUGCGUUCAGACAUGUAGGUCGUCUCCGGUGACCAAUUGGGAUA
rnacentral:sRNA from 1 species